rnacentral:rRNA from 1 species
UGGGGAAUAUUGGACAAUGGGCGCAAGCCUGAUCCAGCCAUGCCGCGUGAGUGAUGAAGGCCCUAGGGUUGUAAAGCUCUUUCACCGGUGAAGAUAAUGACGGUAACCGGAGAAGAAGCCCCGGCUAACUUCGUGCCAGCAGCCGCGGUAAUACGAAGGGGGCUAGCGUUGUUCGGAUUUACUGGGCGUAAAGCGCACGUAGGCGGACUAUUAAGUCAGGGGUGAAAUCCCGGGGCUCAACCCCGGAACUGCCUUUGAUACUGGUAGUCUUGAGUGCGAAAGAGGUGAGUGGAAUUCCGAGUGUAGAGGUGAAAUUCGUAGAUAUUCGGAGGAACACCAGUGGCGAAGGCGGCUCACUGGCUCGAUACUGACGCUGAGGUGCGAAAGCGUGGGGAGCAAACAGG